GAUUGAACGCUGGCGGCAGGCCUAACACAUGCAAGUCGGACGGUAGCACAGRGGAGCUUGCUCCUUGGGUGACGAGUGGCGGACGGGUGAGUAAUGUCUGGGAAACUGCCCGGUGGAGGGGGAUAACUACUGGAAACGGUAGCUAAUACCGCAUAACGUCUUCGGACCAAAGUGGGGGAYCUUAGGRCCUCACGCCACCGGAUGUGCCCAGAUGGGAUUAGCUAGUAGGUGGGGUAACGGCUCACCUAGGCGACGAUCCCUAGCUGGUCUGAGAGGAUGACCAGCCACACUGGAACUGAGACACGGUCCAGACUCCUACGGGAGGCAGCAGUGGGGAAUAUUGCACAAUGGGCGCAAGCCUGAUGCAGCCAUGCCGCGUGUAUGAAGAAGGCCUUCGGGUUGUAAAGUACUUUCAGCGGGGAGGAAGGCGGUGAGGUUAAUAACCUCGCCGAUUGACGUUACCCGCAGAAGAAGCACCGGCUAACUCC
rnacentral:rRNA from 1 species